rnacentral:rRNA from 1 species
UACGUAGGUGGCAAGCGUUGUCCGGAAUUACUGGGUGUAAAGGGAGCGUAGGCGGGAAGGCAAGUCGAAUGUUUAAACUAUGGGCUCAACUCAUAAUCGCGUUCGAAACUGCUUUUCUUGAGUGAAGUAGAGGUAAGCGGAAUUCCUAGUGUAGCGGUGAAAUGCGUAAAUAUUAGGAGGAACACCAGUGGCGAAGGCGGCUUACUGGGCUUUAACUGACGCUGAGGCUCGAAAGCGUGGGUAGCAAACAGG